AAUUUGCAUGUCUUUCUGGUCCAAUAUUAUGAUUGCUUGAGCUCAUUUUACCCCCUUGUUCAAUUUCGUUGUCGUCUGUUCUGGUUCACACUCAAAGACGGUUGGUUUUCCAGCAAAUCCAGAGAAAUAUCAACCUGUAUUGUCGACCAUUGCAAACUUGCUGGCGUUUCAGUAUUUGGUAGGCUUUUAUUUGAAAGACAAGAC